AGCGAACGCUGGCGGCAGGCCUAACACAUGCAAGUCGAACGAACCUUUCGGGGUUAGUGGCGGACGGGUGAGUAACACGUGGGAACGUGCCUUUAGGUUCGGAAUAACUCAGGGAAACUUGUGCUAAUACCGAAUGUGCCCUUCGGGGGAAAGAUUAAUCGCCUUUAGAGCGGCCCGCGUCUGAUUAGCUAGUUGGUUGAGGUAAUGGCUCACCAAGGCGACGAUCAGAAGCUGGUCUGAGAGGAUGAUCAGCCACAUUGGGACUGAGACACGGCCCAAACUCCUACGGGAGGCAGCAGUGGGGAAUCUUGCGCAAUGGGCGAAAGCCUGACGCAGCCAUGCCGCGUGAAUGAUGAAGGUCUUAGGAUUGUAAAAUUCUUUCACCGGGGACGAUAAUGACGGUACCCGGAGAAGAAGCCCCGGCUAACUUCGUG
rnacentral:rRNA from 1 species